UCUGCCUUAACCAAUUAGUAUGACACCGGCUCACAUGAAAGGCAACAUCCUUAAGAAGAAAAGCCAAUAUAUGAGGAGCCUGCCUCCUUCUCCCAUACCACUCCACUACUACUCAUCCCGAUGACCGUUCGGGAAGUG
ensembl:ncRNA R08E3.6 ncRNA